CUGAGGGUGGCACUUGGGUUAGGGAACAAUUUACUCAUGACGAAGACAGAGAUCAGAGGUAUGGGGUGUUCUGCAGAAGCCGAGGCCCUUGGCCACAGAGCUAAACACAUAUGCUUGAAGUGGAAGUCAGAGAAACUGAAGAGAGGUCCACGAGAAAGUAGAGCAGUCUUGGACCUCAGCCGCAAGGUGUGCAAGCUACAAAAUGACUGCUGCCUCCCUUCUGCCCUCCACAUCUCCCACAGUAAGUCCUUUGG
rnacentral:lncRNA from 1 species